GGAUGACUGGAUAAGGCAUCAUUUUUUUCGUUCAGCAGCCAUAAACAUGUCUUUGUUGCUUGAGCAGACGAAUUUAGUAUCACGAAAAUUCCAAUUCACGACAAAAACAGCUUAAUUCCUUUCGCUUAUCGCUUGGAAUUUUCUCUCUUCAUUCAAUAUCCACACACACAAAUUUGUGGCUUCAAAUCCCUCUGAACCCUUGCCCCGACUCCACCACUCUGUACUUUCCCUGUCGAAUCAUUCCUCAACAAUCAUUUUUCGUACAUGAAAGAUCGCUACCAUCUCUGACGAUUCACGAAUCGGAUAUUAAUUAGGUUCUUUUACUGUUCAAACAUGAUGAGCUCGUGACAGAUUUCCCGCCAACUUCUCCGUUUCGAAUUUAUGGAGAGAUUUUCUGCUAGAGAAGGCGUUCUUUUAGGGUACAGUAGUCAGAGAUCUCUGGGGAGUACCAGUGCUUCUUCUUCGUCUUCUCAUGGAAACUCAGACGUUGAUUUUGCCGAUGUGUUCGGUGGCCCACCGAGGCGGUCAUCGAUUCACGAGAUGCGGUGUAGUCUUAGCGAAAGUACGGAUUCACGCGCAAGUUCGUCUCAAAAUCCUUGGACUGGUCUGAUGGAGAAGCCUGUAUUUGGAGAAGAAGUUUCGAGCAGAAGGCGGCAUACAAGCCAUGACUUCUUCGAUGACAUAUUUAAAGGCGGCGGUUGCUCGAGCUCUCCAAGAAAGAAUGAACGCGAUCCUAUAUUUUCCGUGCCAGGUUCCAGGGCUUUAAGCCCCAAUCAACCCUUGCCACCCAACGCUGAGCCACUUAGCUCCUCACUUCCUGCACAAUUCAGCCUUCCCGCUAAAUUGCUUAAAGGGACUGAGUUGCCAACAUACAGUUUGGGUACUCUUAACGAUCAAAGAAAUAAGGAUGGUGCUUCCAUUGGAAUAAACCAUUACCCAUAUUCUCCUUUGUCAAGAUCUUCAAGCCAAACAGAUCGAGUUGCCGGAGAGCUUAGGAAUCAUGUUCAAGCAGUAUCCAAGAAUUUAUGUCCAAAAAGUCUGGAAUUGUCAAACUUAACCACAUUAGAUGUAUUAGAAGAAGUAGGCAAUUCAAAGAUGGAUUCAGGUACCUCUGAUACUUUAACUAAUGGCAGCCAAUUUCACUUCUUUAUAUAUAAAUGGGUGAGCAAAGGAAUGCCGAUAGCAAUGCUUCUCAGGGGACGUAAUAGUUCUAGAUUGAAGGAAACAGGUAAAAUUGUCAGAUGUUCCAGCUUAAAACAGACAGCAAGGGAGGGUUUGGAAAGAGAUUCACCUACAGCGACUCCAAAUGACACGUCUUCCGGGAUUCAACUUGACAAAGAGAAUGUCACCCUAUUUGAUGGAAUCACUCCCGGAAGACUAGAAGGAACCCAAACAGAAACACUAAGCACCCAUCAAAUUAUUGGUGAAAAUAUUCCUGCUAAUAACAAUGCAUGUGCUGCAGCAGAAAAAAGAAAAUCUCAGUCUCUGUUUGAGAUGGAUUUGCAUAUAGAACCAGAGCAAGAUACUUCAGUGUUUAAGAAAGAAGCUCCCAAGACUGAGUUGAAUACUCUAGACUCUCUAUUGUGUAAUGAUAAUGAUGGACAAGGCAAUGAUAAGAUGGCUGCAAAGAAUUCUGCAAAAGAACAAAAAAGUAAAACCACAAAAAAUAUAUCUGCAUUAAUUCCUUCCAUUGUGGAGAAACAAAAUCGGGGAAAACCUGAGCCCGAUACAGCAGAAGCGGGCAAAGAUAGCUUGCUAGAUACAAGUACAACCUUGGAAGGUAGUCCUGGGACGAAGAAAAUAAAGGGAAAGGUUAAAAAAUUUGUUAAAAUCUUCAAUCAAGACUCUUUGUCAAAAUCAAAGCCUGAUGUUAAUUCUCAAGGUCAUAGUUAUAGACGGAAGGAUAGAGAUACAUCCACAAAAGAGGAUGUAUUGAUACCUACCACAAAAGCAGCAGCAAAGAAUAUGCAUGUAGCCAAUGUGAACCAGAAGAAAUCCCCAGAAGCUGUCACAAAGAUGGAGGAAAGUUCUAUGCAGACAGAGAAACAAGAUUAUCAUGUGCAGCCUAAAAACUAUACGCCUGGUGGCACGUCCACUGGACAGAUAAAUAGGCCAGCAUCAACUCAAACAUCAAUUUCUGGAGGCCUGGAGGCUAUUGGUGGAGAUGCAGAUGAACUUUUCUCAGGAAACUUCCUGGUCAUUGAUUCUAAAAUACUACAGUGGUCAAGUGGGAAGGAUGGAAACAUACGCUCAUUGUUAUCAACCUUACAGUAUGUUCUUUGGGCUGGAAGCGGGUGGAGGCCUGUGCCUCUUGUUGAUAUAAUUGAAGGAAAUGCGGUGAAAAGAUCAUAUCAAAAGGCUUUACUCUGUCUACAUCCAGAUAAGUUACAGCAGAAGGGUGCUUCUUCCCAACAAAAGUAUAUAGCAGAAAAGGUUUUUGAUAUUUUGCAGGAAGCAUGGACUCAUUUCAACUCACUUGGUUCACUAUGAUUAAUGGGAAAAUUUUCAUUCAAGGAGAACAGUCAGGUGCUCAGGGAAAGUAAUUGUGCAUAAUAAUACUGUAAUGUCAGUAAUCUUUCAUGUGCAGAGGGGUUUCUCAUUGGAUUCCAUCUAAUUUCCUGUAUGAAUAGGGUCUGGAAAAACUGCCGUUCAGAUCUCAUGUGCAGAGGGUAGUUACCCGACCAGCUUUAUUGGGUAAAAGCUUUUGUCAUUGUCGUGUGUAUGUUUCAUUGAUUAGGAAACAAACUAUUGACUGUCUUUUCUUUGUGGGGUUACAUAUACAGAUCCUCUAGGUCUUGUGUGGCUGAAUUGUUUUUGUUUCUCUCUGUUAUGCAUCAUAUCUUGUUUAUGGACAAA